AAGUUCGUUGAGGUUGAAGAAUCGGAACCAACCAACGCGACCAAGUCUCAAUUCUCAGACCCUAAACCUACCCUUCCCUACCCCCCAUCACUCUACCAUGGCCAUGGCCUCGUUCGACGCAUUGUUCUUCAUUCUUCGUCUUCUACAUCAACACAAUCCCAAACUUUAACCCUAAUCCGAAUGUGUUCUACGCAUUCUUCUUCGCGCCUGGAUCUAGGGUUUCAAUUUCGGCUCCGAAGAUCCCCAGCCUUGGACGUCCUCUUAGAUCGGAUCGCCGGAGAAAUUUUUGCUCGAUCUCGCGCUACGAGAUCUUGAUUCGUCUCGUAUUAGGUUUUCAGCUCCAACAAGGCUCUGACGAGUCGGCAGAAGUCGAUAAGUAUAGGUACCUACACAGAACAAAAGGUUUGAGCUACUCUGAUGGGUGAGUUUGGCAACCUCAAACCCUCAAAAUACAAGGUUUGUUUAAUCUUUUGCAUCCAGAUAGUGGACAUAAUUGAUGUGUUUCGUUUAGUUGUGUAAAUGUUUCAGUGUUAUAUUUGCUUCUUUUUCCUUGAAUCUCGCUCGCCUUCAAUUGGGGAACCAAGUCCAUCACCGGCCAGAAAAGACAAACAAAUAAACAUACUAAUCAAUGUUCUGCAAUGAUCGAUCACCCCAGCUGUUUCUGUUCCAUCCUUUUUUAAUUGAUUUACUGUUUAAUUUCUUUGAUUUAAAAGCCUAUUGGAUUGUGGUGUAUCUUGUUUUAGUUUCUCUGGGAGUUUUCGAUUUUUCAAUUGUUAAUGGGUCCUCGUUCAGGACAAUCCUCUUUUA